CCGACGGUGAGAGACGAAAGCUGGGGGAGCAAACCGGAUUAGAUACCCGGGUAGUCCCAGCUGUAAACGAUGCGCGUUAGGUGUGUCAGUGACCACGUGUCACUGAUGUGCCGACGGGAAACCGUGAAACGCGCCGCCUGGGGAGUACGGUCGCAAGGCUGAAACUUAAAGGAAUUGGCGGGGAGCACCACAACGGGUGGAGCCUGCGGUUUAAUCGGACUCAACGCCGGAAAUCUCACCGGAUAAG
rnacentral:rRNA from 1 species